rnacentral:lncRNA from 1 species
UGAUGGAAUAUCUUUAAAAUGCUGAGAAUAUUUUCCAACAAUUUUGUGACCUCCAUGAAUAUGAAGGGGAAAGGUGGAUAUAUGCUUUAAAAGCACUAAUUUAUAUGGUGUAGUGAAAGUUCAUGUAAUUUUUUCAAAAUCUAAUAUGCG